GCGCCAGCGCACAUAAGAGUGGCAGCACUUUAAACUUCCGCUCUUUAGCACAAUUAAAUAUCCUCCGUAUUUUACAAAAGUUAUAAAAUGCUUUGUAAUUUUAAUUUUAAAUGGUUUAUUGCUGCGUUCGCGUUGAUUUCUUAAUGCAAGUUCACUGAAAUCGUUUAUUUACUUAGUAGACACUACAUGCCAGCAGUGGCUGCUGUUGACCGUUUGUCAGACUGAUAUACAUAUAUAUAUUUUUUUUUAUCCUGCUUUCUUGAUAGGGAAAGAGCGACUGAUGUGACCAAACUAAGAGUGCUGCUUUAGUUUUAGCGUAUAUUUAUACCUUUCCGAUUCCUUCGUGUCAAGAUUUCCCGCCAUAUGGAAUUUACCUGCGCAAAUUUCCAAAAGAGGCAAAUGUGUUGCACAUCUGAUGCUUAGCAGACAAUGCACAAGUACUCAACAUUGAAGGCUAGAUUACGGCAAUUUAGCAGAUUACGCAGCGGUCAGCGCUCGGAAGGCGAUGGCAAACCCAGAGUAAAUUUCUGCCAUAAAAAAGCUUCUCAUAAAAUCAAUUUGCCAUUCGGAGGCGGCGUAAAACUGUAGAUCGGUCAAUUUGUAUAACAACAACAACAACAAGGCGCAUAACAAAAAAUGUGGGAAAAGCUCGGCAAAAUAA